UGGAGGCGGGCACCGGAAGUUCCGAACCCGGAACCGGAAGCGGACGCAUCCCGGAAGUGGAGGCGCCACGCGUCCAGCACCUCCAUCGCCUCAUCCGUGUUUGUGAAUCACUCCGAGUGACGUCUCCAAGAUCUUGACACUUACAGCCCAGAUUCACAGCGGUGCAGCGCACUUUGGAAUCAACAACAACAACAGCAGCAGCAACAUCAUCAUCAACAACAACAACAGCAGCAUCAGCAGCAGCAUCAGCAGAAGCAGCAUCAUCAGCAGGAUCAUCAGGAGGUGUUGGUGAGAUGGCAAGCAGCACUUUUUGGGAAGACCUGCGGCGUCAGGCGCGGCAGCUGGAAAAUGAACUGGACAUGAAGUUGGUGUCCUUCAGCAAACUGUGCACAGCUUGUACUCACCGUGACCAGUACUCGUGAGUACUCACUGUGUCACUG